GCUGACUACCAUUGCAGAAGGUUCUUUUUCUGGCAAUUCCUCCUUGGUGAGGCUUUUCCCUGUGAACCUGGAAUCUAUUGAUGUGGUUGUUUCAGGAGGAAAAGAUGCAGACGUAGAAUCUCCUAGUGGCUGGUCUAUGAGUGGGAUGAUACUGCAGGCACAAGAACAUUGCUUUAGGGCUGAGAAUGUGCUCUUCCAUGCGGAGAGAAUCAGCUUGACCCUUCUUAGAAGAAAAUUGCAACCACGCAUUGUCUGCAUUUAUGUUAUGAAGAAGGAGGAUGACGUGACAAAAAGCUCGUGAACGCUUUCUGCAGGCUGGAUGGGAAGUGCAGCUGAGGAUUUUGCGCAAGCAUCAGUAGUGCAGAGCUGUCUGUCUCUCUUUUGGAGACAAAAGUGAGGAUUAAAAUAUUUUUUGUUGUUUUUCUUGGGAAGAAAAGUAAAUCUUUUUUAACUCUCUGCCAACCCUCCAAAUCAGGAAGCUUUAAGAGGCUCCAAAAAGAAGUAAAGGCAAGUUUGGAGAUGUUUAACAGCUACUGUUAGCAAUUGUAAGCUGCCAAGGAUUGAUAUUCCUUCCACCAGACAGGUUGGGUAUAAUGAAAACACAGGGUAAUAAGAUAGGAAACUGUUAACCAGACAGUACAAACUGUUAGCUAAAUCAAUAAAUUACAGACUUGGGAACUUUUGUAGGCUGAAUUAUUGCUGAAUUACUCCUCUGGAGAACCACCUCCAAUUUUAAAGUUCAUUUACUUUAACAAGAUAUUGGGAAGGAGUCUGCAAGGAGAAUGGAGAUAUAGUUCACAUAUAACAGAAGGAAGUUAAAAGUGAGAAAAAGCCUUGGGGGCACUGGAAGUGCUGAGCAGUUUAUACCUUUCCUGUGCAAUCCCCAGUGUGAGUGCAGAAGUCACAACUUGCAAAAGUAAUUUCUGGUUUUGGGAUGCUCAUAGAAAAUAUCCUAUGAGAUCUCCUUUUAGGCUGCCACAAGAAGGAUCACAGUGAACAUUCAGUAUCAUUGUCAUGUCCAUGACCUUGGCCUUGCUGUUGCCACUGAGUGUGGGAGCACUUCAAAUUUCCCACCUGCACUCCAGCUGGAGGAUUAUAAAAUGAAAAGAGCUGUAGUGGAUAAACAGUUCUUUUCUGCCAACUUGAUUUUAAUUACACUGCAUGUCAUAAACUUUAGAAAAUGUGUUUAGAUUAAAAAAAAAAAAAAAAAGUGUGGUGUGGAGGAGCAUGAUGGGGAGAAAUAGAUGCUUGAGCUUAAUAAGGGACAAAAGAAAGUUGCUUCAAGUGAUGAACAGAUGUGAAAAUGCCAGUAAUGCACAGUUGUGGAACAAAGGGGUCAUCCAGAUGAAGAAUAUCCUCUUGCUGCAGUAGCUUAUUCCUGUAAUCCUUAUGUGAAGUUUUGA